GGGCGGGAGCAUUGGAGAACUCGUUGAAACGCCAGUCGGUAUUGAAAAAUACAUUUUUACCACUAAUGGCUGAAACAAGACAGAUUUUUUAACAACUCUGGAUUCCACAAGAGGUCUGGACUUUGCAAAUAAAGUUUAUAUUGUUCGCUUACACACCAGUUGGCAGGGCGUAUAUCGCAAAAAGAGCCAGUGACAGCACUUACCUUUACGAAAAGGACAACAAAUAUGGAGGGGCGUUCCCUUAAAAUACGCUCAUAAAAGUGCAAUGUAUUGUACAGAUAGGAGAUGGGACGAUCUGGGGGUAGCACAAAAAAAUAUCAACAAAGGAAAAGCCAAAUUUCAUAUCCAAUAUUAAGUUUACCAUGGAAUUUGUAUAAUAUGCUUAAAUGCUCCAAAAUCACUUCCAAUAUUUGAUGGACAUGUUGUAUGGGAAGUUCUAUAAAACGAUGUAUAACUACAUCCAAUACCGGCAGAAAACGCAGACACAUAUUUGAAAAAUACACAGGUAAAGGGGGAUGCGAUGCCGAUUCGUCUGGAGCAAAUUUUUCAGGAUAUUUUUGAUGGAAUGACAAAUGCUUCUCAUGCCUAAAAUUAAAAAUAUCAUAGAGGAAAAAGACAAAUCACUACAUAUUUGUCAUAAAACUUGCCAAUUAUUUUGUUUCCAAUGAUCCGGAUUGUUUUCCUUGCAAAAAUCGGUGACC